GAAGCGUAGGGGUAGGUAUGGGGAUCUGCCUGAUGGCGGGGGAUAACUACUGGAAACGGUAGCUAAUACCGCAUAAUGUCUUCGGACCAAAGCGGGGGACCUCCGGGCCUCGCGCCAUCAGAUGAACCCAUAUGGGAUUAGCUAGUAGGUGAGGUAACGGCUUACCUAGGCGACGAUCCCUAGCUGGUCUGAGAGGAUGAUCAGCCACACUGGGACUGAGACACGGCCCAGACUCCUACGGGAGGCAGCAGUGGGGAAUAUUGCACAAUGGGCGCAAGCCUGAUGCAGCCAUGCCGCGUGUAUGAAGAAGGCCUUCGGGUUGUAAAGUACUUUCAGUCGGGAGGAAGGUGGCAAGGUUAUUAACCUUUUCAAUUGACGUUACAUCACCCAAGAAGCACCG
rnacentral:rRNA from 1 species